AGUGAAGCUGUAUCACAGUGGUUCACACUGUGACAAAAACCUCCAUCAGAGACCUACUGAAGAUUUAUUGAUUCUCAGCUAAAUCAGACACAUCAAAUGAGAGAAACUGCUUCAAAACAUUGAAGGACAACAAAUCAAUUCCUGUGAAGAGACAAUUCAGUCUGGAGCAAAUCAAACUGAUGAAGUUAGUGAGAUGUUGACAAUGAAAGUUGGUCUCAACAGGAUCUUUCAGUUCCACUCCGUCAUCAGAGCGAGUCGAGAGGUUUUUGUACAGCCAUGUGUACCAACUGAAUCACUGUGGUAUUCGGACAAGGAACCAAGCUGAUUGUGACAAGCUCCAGCCUCCGUCCUCCCGUCCUCACUGUCUUUCCUCCGUCCAGUGCUGAGCUGCAGUCCAACAAAGCCUCUUUGGUCUGUCUGUCCAGUCAGUCUGGGCCUUUUGCAGAUGUGACCUGGAUGUCUGGAGGGAGUCCAGUGGUCACUGGGAUCUCUACCAGCACCGCUGUUAAGCAACCUGAUCAGACGUUCCACAUCAGCAGCUAUCUGGCCAUCCAGGCGUCAGACUGGAACAUGGAUAAGGUUUACACAUGUAAAGUGUCUUUGGGCUCCCAGACUGCAGAGAAAAACAUCAAGAAGUCUGAGUGCCUCACUGAACAACAGUAGA